GUGAGGAGGAGUCAAUGCAAAACUCAGAUGUCUUCCACCUCUACUUAUCUGACUGCAGAGAGGAUGACAGAGAACAGUGGACACACAGUUUAACAUGAUGGACUAUAGGACAGGACUGCUGCUGUUAACUAUCUGCUGGGCAGGUGUUGAUGGUCAGACUCUGACAGAAUCUGAACCAGUGGUUAAAAGGCCUGGAGAAUCUCACAGAUUGACCUGUACAGCCUCUGGAUUCACAUUCAGCAGCUACUGGAUGAACUGGGUCAGACAGGCUCCUGGAAAAGGACUGGAGUGGAUUGCUAUUAUCAAAUAUGACAGUGCUGAUAUCUACUACUCUCAGUCAGUUCAAGGCCGGUUUACCAUCUCCAGAGACAACAGCAGACAGCAGGUGUAUCUGCAGAUGAACAGUCUGAAGACUGAAGAUUCUGCUGUUUAUUAUUGUGCUCGAGACUCACAGUGACUGGAGUUGGUUGAGCAGCUGUACAAAAUCCUACAGCA